UACAGAGGCCUCGAGCGUUAGGCGGAAUCACUGGGCUUAAAGCGUGUGUAGGUGGAGUUCUACGUCCCUUGUGAAAUCCCACGGCUCAACCGUGGAACUGCUGGGUAUACUGGUUCUCUUGAGGUACCUAGGGGCGAGCGGAACAAGUGGUGGAGCGGUGAAAUGCGUAGAUAUCACUUGGAACGCCAACGGUGAAAACAGCUCGCUGGGGGUAUCCUGACACUGAGACACGAAAGCCAGGGGAGCAAACGGG
rnacentral:rRNA from 1 species